CCUACGGGAGGCAGCAGUGAGGAAUAUUGGUCAAUGGGCGGGAGCCUGAACCAGCCAAGUAGCGUGAAGGAUGACUGCCCUACGGGUUGUAAACUUCUUUUAUCAGGGAAUAAAGUGAGGUACGUGUGCCCUGUUGCAUGUACCUUAUGAAUAAGGAUCGGCUAACUCCGUGCCAGCAGCCGCGGUAAUACGGAGGAUCCGAGCGUUAUCCGGAUUUAUUGGGUUUAAAGGGAGCGUAGGUGGGCUGUUAAGUCAGUGGUGAAAGUUUGGGGCUCAACCCUCACAUUGCAGUGAAUACUGGCAGCCUUGAGUACAGUUGAGGUAGGCGGAAUGCGUGGUGUAGCGGUGAAAUGCAUAGAUAUCACGAAGAACUCCGAUUGCGAAGGCAGCUUACUGGACUGACACUGACGUUGAUGCACGAAAGUGUGGGUAUCGAACAGGAUUAGAUACCCUGGUAGUC
rnacentral:rRNA from 1 species